rnacentral:tRNA from 1 species
GGAGCAGUAGCUCAGGCUGGCAAGAGCACGGCGCUUAUAACGCCGGGGUCGCAGGUUCGAGUCCUGCCUGCCCUA